CAGUCGCCACGGGAAUACAGAGGGUGCGAGCGUUAAUCGGAUUUACUGGGCGUAAAGCGUGCGUAGGCGGCUUCUUAAGUCGGAUGUGAAAUCCCUGAGCUUAACUUAGGAAUUGCAUUCGAUACUGGGAAGCUAGAGUAUGGGAGAGGAUGGUAGAAUUCCAGGUGUAGCGGUGAAAUGCGUAGAGAUCUGGAGGAAUACCGAUGGCGAAGGCAGCCAUCUGGCCUAAUACUGACGCUGAGGUACGAAAGCGUGGGGAGCAAACAGGAUUAGAUACCCCGGUAGUCCCUGUCUCUUAUAA
rnacentral:rRNA from 1 species